CCCCUCUCCUCCACCCGCCCGCCGUGCGCUCACCGCGCCGCGCGCCCCUCGCCCUCCGCCAGCGCCCAGCCCAGGUGCAGGCGGCGCGCGCGAGCCCUCGAGCAGCGAAGCCCGCCUCCCAGCUCCGCACACGGCUGGCCACGGAGAGCGCUCCCACUUCGGCUCCGACCGACCAGGCAAGAGGGAGGUGGGGAUAAGAGUUGAAAAGCCCGCCUGACUUUUAGGAACUGCCCCGCCCUCUGGCCCUUUGGAGACUUUCGUUUUCAUUUCCUCCAGGCUCCCUCCAGCCUACGCCCUUCCACUCCUCCCCACCGCCAUCUCUCUGGGUUCUUUUCUUCGGACAACUGGGAAAGCAGGAACCUGGCUGCUGGGGGAACUCCAGAGUGAAAUACUCAUGCUGCGGUUGUUUCGGACGGUCCCUCCAGCCUGAAACAAAACCUUCUGGACGUCUUCGUCCCCAGGACUGGCUGGAGAAGCCGACUUAGCGCAGCGUACACCUUUUUCCUCUACACAAGUACAACCACAAGUGACAAGGAUAGGGACACACUGUAGUGCUGCUGCUAAGGCAGAUUUUCACCAAGCAUAAGAGCUUUGAAAAUUUGCAUCAGAGAGUGCCGGAAGAGAAGGUUGCAGGGACCUCAGAGGCACACAGUGAUUCUGGCUUGAAGGUGUUGCUGCAGCAGCAGAAACUGCCUAGGUCUUGCUGGGACCUCCAAAAAUGUCAACUGUUGGCUCCCAGAAAUAUCACCAGAGCAACCUGUUGAUAAGCCCCAGGACCAAAGGUGAAACUCACCUAAGACAAGAGUCCGUCCGGAACCGAGCCGUCACCAGUCUGCGCUUGCGGCUUGAGGGAACCUCCAGCAGUCCCGCGCUCCGGGGAAACUGCCGAGGGAACUGCGCAUCUGGCCUGAGAUCUUGGCGUCCUUCUGCUCUCAUUGGAUAGCAGCUCUCCUGCCGCAGAAGCCGAUUGGCUGCGCUCUAGCCGCGGAGUGGAGGGCGGGAGACGCUGAGUGUGCAAAGACCUUCCCGCCGCUGGUCUUGGACGAGGGAAGAGCGGGAUUCGCUGCCAGGCUGCGCGCUGCCCACAGUGCCAGCUUCAGCCCUCCUAGUCUUGAAUAAGGGAAAGAGUCCCGGAAGAAGGGUCUCGAGCGCGGGGAAGGGGAGUCGGGGAUCUAGGCUUUGAGAGGACGCGGGAGCGGGAGACACCAGAAACGCAGGAGGCGGCGCCGCUGCGGAGGCCUGAGCCCCGCGCGCGCGAGCGCGGGAACCGGUUGCACCAGUCGGAGCGCGCGGGCGGAAACCUGGCUCCCGGGUGCCCAGCAGUCGGGAGGAGGCGUGGAGACACUAGCCCGGCAUUCUGCAUUGCUCCCGCGCAGAGGAGGCACUGCGGGAAGAAGCCGCGAAUGCAGACCGAGUGAACGACCUCGUCAUAAAUCGAUUCUCCAAACGCAGAAGUUUACAAUCCAGAUAAAGGAAAUAUUGUGAACUCCAGGUAUGUGCAUCUCAAAGCUGACAAUCAAAGAACUUGACUGGAAAGGGCUUGCAAAGGCAGCCUGCUGUUUAACGAUCUGCAUGGAGGGCAGACGUGCAAGUAUUCCGUGCUGUGUUUGAGAAGGGCUCGAGGUCUCAACGGUGACAACUUUUAUGCAGUUUGACAGAGGAAUACAUGAUGUAUAUAAAGUGAUAGGGUUGAGAAACGUGUUGGUAACUACAAUAUGUGUGGUAAUUUGGGGGAACUGGCCUUAAUCUGCACACAAUACAUCAGAAGUAGUUAUUGCUUCCUCUAACAUCGGUUCUCUGAGUUUGGAUAGCAUAAGCUUUAAAAAGGCAGCAACUACCAAAAAAAAAAAAAAUUAUACGGAAGUUUCAGCACUUACUAUCAUU